UACGAACCGUCCAAACGUUAUUCGGAAUCACUGGGCUUACAGAGUUCGUAGGCGGCGGAGAAAGUAGGGUGUGAAAGCCCUCGGCUCAACCGAGGAAUAGCGCCCUAAACUACUUCGCUUGAGGAGGCUAGAGGUGAGCAGAACAGAUGGUGGAGCGGUGAAAUGCGUUGAUAUCAUCUGGAAUACCGGAGGCGAAGGCGGCUCACUGGGACCUUUCUGACGCUGAGGAACGAAAGCUAGGGUAGCGAACGGGAUUAGAAACCCCCGUAGUCC
rnacentral:rRNA from 1 species